rnacentral:rRNA from 1 species
UGGGGAAUAUUGGACAAUGGGGGAAACCCUGAUCCAGCAAUGCCGCGUGAGUGAAGAAGGCCUUAGGGUUGUAAAGCUCUUUCGCCCGCGAAGAUAAUGACGGUAGCGGGAGAAGAAGCCCCGGCUAACUACGUGCCAGCAGCCGCGGUAAUACGUAGGGUGCGAGCGUUAAUCGGAAUUACUGGGCGUAAAGCGUGCGCAGGCGGUUAUGCAAGACAGGUGUGAAAUCCCCGGGCUCAACCUGGGAACUGCACUUGUGACUGCAUGACUAGAGUGCGUCAGAGGGAGGUGGAAUUCCGCGUGUAGCAGUGAAAUGCGCAGAGAUGCGGAGGAACACCGAUGGCGAAGGCAGCCUCCUGGGAUGACACUGACGCUCAUGCACGAAAGCGUGGGGAGCAAACA